rnacentral:rRNA from 1 species
UGGGCGAAAGCCUGAUCCAGCAAUACCGCGUGUGUGAAGAAGGCCUUCGGGUUGUAAAGCACUUUCAAUUGGGAGGGAAACCUACCGGUGAAUAGCCGGUAGACUUGUCAUUACCUAUAGAAGAAGCACCGGCUAACUCCGUGCCAGCAGCC